AAGUAAGUAGGCUUUUCUAUUUAUCUUAAUUUGCCAUCAAAAUCUUAGUUAUUCGAAUGAGAGAACAUGCUAAGAGUACUUCAGUGGUUUUGACCUAACACAUAUUAUUCCAUACACACAAUUCUUUGUGAGUGUAUAUUUAUCACAAUUCAUUAAUAAGUUUGAGCCUGCUCCCCUUCAAGUUCUCCUAAUCGACGAAAUAAAUAGAUCCAUCCAGAAGCUUAAGGUAAGCUUGUAAAAAUUCUCUUGCUUACUUUUUGUUAUCUGUUUUCUGAGUUUUUAAAACAUCCAAAUAACUUUUCAAUUUCCAUGACAUAUAUGUAGGGUUGUUGUACCCUUAUAAAGGAUCGAUAUAAAAGUUUAGAGAAGAGAGGAUUAAUUGUUCCAACAUCCAAAACAUCCAAGAGGAAGUAGUUUAUUGCUCUAACAUUAUAUGAAACAUGUCAUCAUCAAAUCAUUUUUGCAUAUAGUUCAUACAUCUAUAUUUUAACCGUUUGAUAUGACACAUUUAAAAUUUGUAU